GAAGUGGCCGAGCGGUCUAAGGCGGCAGACUCAAGAUCUAUCACUCCCCAGAGAACGCAGGUUCGAAUGCCGCAUUAUGCA